AGCGAACGCUGGCGGCAGGCCUAACACAUGCAAGUCGAACGGAGUCUUCGGACUUAGUGGCGGACGGGUGAGUAACACGUGGGAACGUGCCUUUAGGUUCGGAAUAACUCAGGGAAACUUGUGCUAAUACCGAAUGUGCCCUUCGGGGGAAAGAUUUAUCGCCUUUAGAGCGGACCGCGUCUGAUUAGCUAGUUGGUGAGGUAAAGACUCACCAAGGCGACGAUCAGUAGCUGGUCUGAGAGGAUGAUCAGCCACAUUGGGACUGAGACACGGCCCAAACGCCUACGGGAGGCAGCAGUGGGGAAUCUUGCGCAAUGGGCGAAAGCCUGACGCAGCCAUGCCGCGUGAAUGAUGAAGGUCUUAGGAUUGUAAAAUUCUUUCACCGGGGACGAUAAUGACGGUACCCGGAGAAGAAGCCCCGGCUAACUUCGUGCCAGCCGCCGCCGUAA
rnacentral:rRNA from 1 species